AUAUGGGAGGCAGGGUUUAAGGGUUGGCACAACAUUGUGGGCCGAAGGGCCUGUACUGCGCUGUGCUACUCUAUAUAUAUAUAUUUUCUGCAAAUUUUAAUAUUAUGUAUUGCAAGAUACUGCUGCCUUAUAACAACUUUCACGAUAUUAAACCUGAUUCUGAUUCCGAGGACUCCUUGACAGUGGAACAUUAGCUGCGAACAGACUGUUUUGUAGCUGCAAGAAUGUGAUGCUCUACCGCCAUCUUGUGGCGCGAUGUAUUUAACAACUGACGCACUUUCCGAAGCAGUCGCAAGUAUUCCUGUUAUUCCUGGCAUCUUAUUUUCUCCCUUCCAACUCGGUCACAUUCUGAAUUUGACUCAUCAUUUUUGUAAAUAUCUCGAGGAGAACAACACGAAGUGCAGCUCAUAAACACAGGAAAUUCUGCAGAUGCUGGAAAUCUAAAAGAAAACGCACACAAAAUGCUGGAGGAACUCAGCAGGCUGCAGUCUCCGCGGCCACUCUUGAAGUCAGGCACUGAUCUUCUCCAGCGGCUCCAGGUGCAAUAAAAGGCUGGUUGGAUAGGAGGAACAGGAAUGAAGCUGGAAUCAGAUGCUGCCUGACCUGCUGAGAUCCUCCAGCAUUUUGUGUGAGUUGCUCUCCAUUUUAUUUGAAAACGUCUCUGUGCUUUUACUGCAAGGCCAGAACUUCAUUCCUCAAAGCAGUAAAAUAUUGAAACAAAUUUCAACAAAACAAAACUUCUGUAAUAAAAUAAGAAA